UGUCAGGAUGGCCGAGUGGUCUAAGGCGCGGCGUUUAGGUCGCUGUCCGCAAGGGCGUGGGUUCGAACCCCACUCCUGACAA